GAUGAAGAACGCAGCGAAAUGCGAUAAGUAGUGUGAAUUGCAGAAUUCAGUGAAUCAUCGAAUCUUUGAACGCACAUUGCGCCCCUUGGUAUUCCAUGGGGCAUGCCUGUUCGAGCGUCAUUUGUACCUUCAAGCUUUGCUUGGUCUUGGGUGUUUGUCUCGCCUUUGCGUGUAGACUCGCCUUAAAAUAAUUGGCAGCCGGCGUAUUGAUUUCGGAGCGCAGUACAUCUCGCGCUUUGCACUCAUAACGACAGCGUCCAAAAGUACAUUUUACACUCUUGACCUCGGAUCAGGUAGGGAUACCCGCUGAACUUAAGCAUAUCAAUAAGCGGAGGA
rnacentral:misc_RNA from 1 species